CAGCCGCCACGGGAAUACGAAGGGUGCAAGCGUUACUCGGAAUUACUGGGCGUAAAGCGUGCGUAGGUGGUGGUUUAAGUCCGUUGUGAAAGCCCUGGGCUCAACCUGGGAAUUGCAGUGGAUACUGGGUCACUAGAGUGUGGUAGAGGAUAGUGGAAUUUCCGGUGUAGCAGUGAAAUGCGUAGAGAUCGGGAGGAACAUCAGUGGCGAAGGCGGCUCACUGGCCCGAUACUGACGCUGAGGUGCGAAAGCGUGGGGAGCAAACAGGAUUAGAUACCCCUGUAGUCCCUGUCUCUUAUAC
rnacentral:rRNA from 1 species